rnacentral:rRNA from 1 species
GGUCAAGCUACAAAGUGUCUAUGCACGGAUGACUUGGUUAGGUGAGGCGAUGAAGGACGCGGUAAGCAGCGAUAUGCUUCGGGUAGCCGCAAACAGGCUUUGAUCCGAAGAUCUCCGAAUGGGGCAACCCUUCCGGUGUUACAGCCGGAAACCCUGCUAUGAAUACAUAGUAGUAGGGAGCGAACGGGACGAAUUGAAACAUCUAAGUAAGCCCAGGAAAAGAAAUCGAAUGAGACUCCCCUAGUAGCGGCGAGCGAAAAGGGACGAGCCUAAACCUGAGUUUGCCCUCGCAAGAGGAUAGAUUCAGGGGUUGUGGGACUCCGAUAUGGUAGUCGAGGGGAUAGCAGAAAUGCCUGGAAAGGCAUGCCAAAGAGGGUGAAAGCCCCGUAAGCGAAAUUCUGACGACGCCUAGGAGUAUCCCAAGUACCACGGGACACGGGAAAUCCUGUGGGAAUCCAGGCUGACCACAGUCUAAGGCUAAAUACUACACCUAAACCGAUAGCGCACAAGUACCGUGAGGGAAAGUUGAAAAGAACCACGGGAGGGGAGUGAAAUAGAACCUAAAUUCAUAGACAUACAAAGCGAUGGAAGGCCUAUACCCAGGCCGCAAGGCGUGGGGAUGGCUGACCGUGUACCUUUUGCAUAAUGGUCCGACGAGUUGUUGUUGUAAGCGAGUUUAAGUGUUCCGUGAAAGCGUAACACGAAGGCGCAGGGAAACCGAGUCCUAACCGGGCGAUUUAGCUUGCAAUAACAGACCCGAAGCUGAGUGAUCUACCCAUGAGCAGGGGGAAGUUCAGAGAAAUCUGGAUGGACGUCCGAACCCUUCAGCGUUGAAAAACUGUGGGAUGACUUGUGGGUUGGAGCGAAAGACUAAACAAACUCAGAAAUUGCUGGUUCUCCCCGAAACAAUUCUAGGGUUCGCCUCAAGACACUACAUUAUAGGGGUAGAGUGCUGAAUGGACUACGGGACGCUACCGCGUUGCUGAGUCCAACCAAACUCCGAAUACUAUAAUGACUAUCUUGGGAGUAAGACGCUGGGGGCCAAGCUCCGGCGUCAAAAGGGAAUCAGCCCAGACCACCAGCUAAGGUCCCUAAUAAUAAGCUAAGUUGUAAAGGAUGUGGAUUCGCUAAUACAGCCAGGAUGUUGGCUCAGAGGCAGCCAUCAUUUAAAGAGUGCGUAACAGCUCACUGGCCGAGCGAUUCCGCGCCUAAGAUGAACGGGGAUCAAGCUUAUAACCGAAGCUGUGGGUUUUAACCGUCUUCGGACGGAUAGAGCGGUAGGGGAGCAUUGUUCAGUUGGUUGAAGCUGUACCGUGAGGAGCAGUGGACACUGAACAAGGGAUUAUGUCGGAAUGAGUAGCGAAAACGUCUGCGAGAAACAGACGCGCCGAAAGUCGAAGGUUUCCUGGGGAAGGUUAAUCCACCUAGGGUUAGUCGUGCCUAAGCUGAGGCCAAGUGGCGUAAGCGAUGGAUGAUCUGUUAAUACUCAGAUACUAGCUUGUUGGCGUUAAAACUUUUUAUGUGACGUAGGAGGACUAGGUUUGCGGGGUGUUGGAUGUCCCCGUUCUUGCCCGAGUAAUCGGAUGAGGGGACCCUGAGGUUUCCGAGGGGGAAGUUGACUACGACCACACUGCCGAGAAAAGCAUAAAAAGGAGUUGACAAGUUACACGUACCGGAAUCCGACACAGGUAGACCACCAGAAUAUGGUAAGGCGCUCGAGAUAACCCUCUUUAAGGAACUCGGCAAUCUAGCCGCGUAAGUUCGCAACAAGCGGUGCCCUUUUGUCGCAAGGCUGAAGGGUCUCAGUAAAGUGGUCCGGGUGACUGUUUAGCAAAAACACAUCUCUAUGCAAACUCGAAAGAGGACGUAUAUGGAGUGACACCUGCCCAGUGCUGGAAGGUUAAGGGAAUCUGUCAGUGGGAGUAAUCCUGUCGAAGCGGUGAACCGAAGCCCCAGUAAACGGCGGCCGUAACUAUAACGGUCCUAAGGUAGCGAAAUUCCUUGUGGGGUAAGUUCCCACGCGCACGAAUGGUGUAACAACCUGGACGCUGUCUCAAAGAGGGACUCGGCGAAAUUGUAGUGGCGGUGAAGAUGCCGUCUACCCGCAUCAAGACGAAAAGACCCCAGAACCUUUACUGCAGCCUACUAUUGGAUUUUGGUUUAACAUGUGUAGCAUAGGUGGGAGGCUUCGAAGCCAUGGCGCUAGCUGUGGCAGAGCCACAAUGUGAAAUACCACCCUUGUUGGAUUAAAAUUCUAACCUUCUUCCCUGAAUCGGGGGAGGGGACAGUGAUAGGCGGGCAGUUUGACUGGGGCGGUUCCCUUCUAAAAAGUAACAAAGGGGCCCAAAGGUUGGCUCAGGCCGGUCGGCAAUCGGCUGUGGAGUGUAAGCGCAUAAGCCAGCUUGACUGCAAGUCGGACACGACACGCAGAUACGAAAGUAGGGGCUAAUGAUCCGGUGGUGAAAUGUGGAAUUGCCAUCGCUCAACGGAUAAUAGGUACUCUGGGGAUAACAGGCUUAUCGGGCUCGAGAGUUCACAUCGACAGCCCGGUUUGGCACCUCAACAUAAACAUGGGGUGGUACGGGAGUAAUUCUGUACAUGCAUUGGCUAAUAACGGUGGAACCCGGAAAUAUGGGUAAUACCGUGGGAAGUCUUAAAAAGCAUAAGCAGUUAUUUCAAUGGUCUUUUCUCUUGGUGACAAUUAAUCAGAACAUAUAUGGCUGAUAACUUAACGCUCAAACUGUGUCUAUUAUGGAUAGUUGCGUUUAAUGUUAUUAAGAGUAUGAUUGUUAGUUAAUUCGUUGCCUAGAGAGACCAUGUUUUUUAAGACCCCGUAACGACUGAUCUUGUCGACACACAAUCCGAGUGUCAUAAAGACGAGAGAGAUAGCAACCGGCAGUAAGCAUGCGGUUCUAUAAUACGCCAACUCCGCUAUAAUUGCAGCGGAUGAAGAUAUAGUCUAAUACCACGCGAAAGCGUGGAUCAUAUUGCGAUGUCGGCUCAUCCUAUCCUGGGGCUGGAUAAGGUCCCAAGGGUCCGGCUGUUCGCCGGUUAAAAGGGUACGCGAGCUGGGUUCAGAACGUCGUGAGACAGUUCGGUCUCUAUCUGGUGCGGGCGCAAGAUAUUUGAAGAGGAGUUCUCCACAGUACGAGAGGACCUGGAGAAACGGACCUCUGGUGUUCCGGUUGUCCUGCCAAGGGCAAGGGCCGGGUAGCUAUGUUCGUAAGGGAUAAGCGCUGAAAGCAUCUAAGUGCCAAGCCCCCCUCAAGACUUGAUAUCUCUGGACCGCAAGGUCCUGUAGGCACCCCGGAGACUACGGGGUUGAUAGGCGUGAUGUGUAAGGUCCGUAAGGAUUUUAGCUAACACGUACUAAUAUGCCAACCGGCUUGACCUU